rnacentral:rRNA from 1 species
UAGAGGAAGUAAAAGUCGUAACUUUUGUCUCCGUUGGUGAACCAGCGGAGGGAUCAUUACCGAGUUUACAACUCCCAAACCCCUGUGAACAUACCUUAAUGUUGCCUCGGCGGAUCAGCCCGCGCCCCGUAAAACGGGACGGCCCGCCAGAGGACCCAAACUCUAAUGUUUCUUAUUGUAACUUCUGAGUAAAACAAACAAAUAAAUCAAAACUUUCAACAACGGAUCUCUUGGUUCUGGCAUCGAUGAAGAACGCAGCAAAAUGCGAUAAGUAAUGUGAAUUGCAGAAUUCAGUGAAUCAUCGAAUCUUUGAACGCACAUUGCGCCCGCUGGUAUUCCGGCGGGCAUGCCUGUUCGAGCGUCAUUUCAACCCUCAAGCCCCCGGGUUUGGUGUUGGGGAUCGGCUCUGCCUUCUGGCGGUGCCGCCCCCGAAAUACAUUGGGCGGUCUCGCUGCAGCCUCCAUUGCGUAGUAGCUAACACCUCGCAACUGGAACGCGGCGCGGCCAUGCCGUAAAACCCAAACUUCUGAAUGUUGACCUCGGAUUCAGGUAGGAAAAACCCACUGAAACAUAAGCAUAUCAAUA